GAUGAACGCUAGCGGAAGGCAUAAUACAUGCAAGUCGAACGGAUGUAGCAAUACAUUAGUGGCGCACGGGUGCGUAACGCGUAUGCAACCUACCUUCAUCAGGGGGAUAACUACCCGAAAGGGUGGCUAACACCGCAUAAUACUAUUGAGUGGCAUCACUUGAUAUUUAAAUCUGAGGAGGAUGAAGACGGGCAUGCGUCUGAUUAGCUAGUUGGUGUGGUAACGGCGCACCAAGGCGACGAUCAGUAGGGGAACUGAGAGGUUGGUCCCCCACACUGACGCUGGGAUACGGGCCAGACUCCUACGGGAGGCAGCAGUAGGGAAUAUUGGUCAAUGGUGGGAACACUGAACCAGCCAUUCCGCGUGCAGGAAGAAGGGUCUCUGACUUGUAAACUGCUUUAGCAAGGGAAGAAAAAGCUCAUGCGUGAGAAAUUGACGGUACCUUGAGAAUAAGCACCGGCUAACUACGUGCCAGCAGCCGCAGUAAGAC
rnacentral:rRNA from 1 species